rnacentral:tRNA from 3 species
GGGCCCUUCGUUCAUCGGCUAGGACGGUACUCUUAUAAAGUACAGAGGAUAGUUCGACUCUAUCAGGGCCCACCC